CCCCUCUCAGGAUCAGUCCUGGAGAGUUUCCAGUACUCCACCAGUUUCAAUUACAGGAGAGAGAUUCAAGCAGAGGCUUAUUCAUGCCAUUCCUAGCUUGGGCAGUGGCUAGCGAGUGGCAGGCAAUCUGCUACAAGU